ACCUGCCUGUCACGCAGGGGGUCGCGGGUUCGAGUCCCGUCCGUUCCGCCA
rnacentral:tRNA from 4 species